rnacentral:rRNA from 1 species
UACGAAGGGGGCUAGCGUUGUUCGGAAUUACUGGGCGUAAAGGGCGCGCAGGCGGCCUAUCAAGUCAGAUGUGAAAAGCCCCGGGCUCAACCUGGGAACUGCAUUUGAGACUGAUAGGCUUGAGUUCGGGAGAGGAGAGCGGAAUUCCCAGUGUAGAGGUGAAAUUCGUAGAUAUUGGGAAGAACACCGGUGGCGAAGGCGGCUCUCUGGACCGAUACUGAACGGCUGAGGCGCGAAAGCGUGGGGAGCAAACAGG